UUCUUCAGAAAUGAUCUUUAAAACUAAGUAUUAUUUAACAAAUCAAAUUUUAAAUACGUAAAUUUUUAUUUCAUUUCAUCGCGAAAUUAAUUUUUUUGUGAUAAAAAUUAAUACUGUAGUUCUCAUUGGAUAUUCUAGGUUAUAUUCACAUUGUACAUUCAUACGUACAUUACGGUAUAUUUAAGAGGAAAGUUCCAGUGUAGAUAAAUAUAUAAAAUUUAAUAAUAUGAAUGAAGUUUUAAACAAGAAUUUUAAAACUUUGUAUCCAAAGUUGGAAAUUGCUGUAAACAAUGCAACUUUUAUUGCCAUCGAUGCUGAAUUUACUGGUCUAUAUUCAGAAGAGAAAUUGAAACAUAGCUUUUUUGAUACAUUCAAUGAUCGUUAUAAAUUAUUAAAGAAAAAUAUUGAGCAAUUUAUGAUAAUACAAUUUGGCAUUGCAACUUUUCGUCAUAUUCCUUAUGAAAAUACCUAUAAAGUAGAUUGUUUUAAUUCUUAUUUGUUUCCAAAAUCUAUACCAUUAAAAAAUAGACACUUAAUAUGGCAAGUGGCAGCAUUAGAGUUCCUUUGUAAACAUAAUUUUGAAUUUAAUAAAUUUUUAAAUGAAGGUAUUUCAUUCUUGGAUGAGACAGAUGAAAAGUUAUUAAAAAAUUAUAUAAAAGAAGGUAGUUUAGCAUAUAAUUUAAAUCAUUUAACAUAUGAAGAAGAAAAUGAGUUCAUAAACUAUAAAAUUAAAAUUUCUGAAUGGAUUGCUAAUAAGAGAAAUGGAGAAACAUUAAAGGUGGAAACUUCUAAUCCUAUAUUACAAUAUUUGAUACAUAAAGACAUAAGACACAAGUAUAAAAAUAUAUGGAGUAUAUCGGAUGAUAAAUCAGUAGGUAUUAUAGAAGUAUUACCUGACAUGUAUGAACUUUUAAGAAAAAAUGAUGAAGAAAAUUUGGAGAAAGAAUUAUUAGAUUAUUACAUAGGAUUUUCUAAAGUAUUUAAACUCUUGGCCUCUUCUAAAAAAAUAAUAAUAGGACAUAAUAUACUUUUAGAUUUAAUGUUUAUGCAUCAACAAUUUUAUAAACCAUUGCCAAAUUCAUAUAAUGAAUUCAAAAGCAAUAUACAUGAAUUAUUUCCACAAAUAUAUGACACAAAAUUUUUAAGUUACGAAGUACGAAAAUUAUUUAGCAAGGAAGAAGUGAGUUGGAAAAUAAGUUCAUUGAGUACUUUAUACGAAUAUUUUACAACUAAAGGAAAAUUAUUAACCUUGAAUUCACCAAAGAUUGCAAUUAAUGAAGAAUCUUCAAACUCAGAUAUUAUCCUAGAUGAAAAAAAAUAUCACACUGCUGGAUGGGAUGCUUACUUUGCUGGAUAUAUAUAUAUAAAAAUGGCACACAUAUUUUGUGUACAUAAAUUUGGAACAGGUUUGGAAGAAAGAAAAGUAACGCAUGCUGAACUAAUAAGUAGCAUAAAAAACUUUGUAAAUUGUAUAAAUAUAACAAGAGGCAAUGAAAUGUAUAUGAAAUUUGAUGGUCCAGAUCCAAUGUUAUCAAGACCAGAAUGGCUUCACGUGAAAUUAAAAUCACCAUCUGUAGAUAUUAAACAGUUGAUGGAGAAGUUUUCAUCUUUUGGCCAAGUGGAUGUGAUGCCUUUUGCUCAAAGACGUGUUUUGGUAGCUGUAGCAAACCAUAAAAGCGCGUUACACAUAUUGCGGCAUUUCAAUAGCAGCGAAGAAUUUCAGGUGGCAUGGUAUAGCCGCAUAAGGCACGCGACACCCAUCAGCAUCUGUUUGUGGAGCGGAGUCAUCUUGUCCGGAAGCUUAUUUGCCUGGAUGUUGAAAAAAUGUUUUUAAAAACCUACUUGAAUGUGAAUAUUUACCUGAAUGCAAUUGCGAUUAAAUAAUAAUCGUGUAAAUAAUAGUAGUUAUUAAUUAAAAGGUAACUGUUUAUUUAUCGAUUAAUAAUUGUAAGAAAAUAAUAUUUUAUAAUAUUGUAUUGCUAACAAAAUCACAGAUAAAUAGUUAAUUCGACCUAGAUAGUUUUAUUAAGUUCAUUGAACCGUUAUGGUUUUUCUUACAAGGAUAGCGAAAAACGAGGAGAAGAAAAUGAAAAAUGAAAGAGAGGUAAGAAAGUAUGGUUCAACUUCCGCCCGACUAUUCAGCCCAGGAAGAAUAUCUCCGUCUUUGUCUUCUUUUCUUACGCUCGUUCGCGAACACCGGCCGCAGAAUCUAUUUAAAUAUUAGAUUGAAAUCGCGAGUGGAAUCUUUGCGUGAGCUGUUAUUAUUAUUUCUCGUUCUGGUUUGUCGACGUUCCGGGCCAGAGCUCGUUUUCGUCAAGGAAUCUAUCCACCGUUGUGCCAAACCUGUGUGUUUGAGUUUUUCAAACUCGUGAAAAAUCCAAGUAAUUCUUUCCAACUUAUCCAUCGAUCGACACGCAUCUUUGCAUCUGUUAUAUCUUUUAUCUUAUAUUUUGUUUUAUUUAUUAUACUUAGGUAUAUAGUUUUGAUUUUUAUCAAAAUACAUCUUUUACAUUACAUCUUCUACAAAUAAUUUUCUUCAGGCACAUAAUAAAAAUUCAUAAGAUUCUUAGAAGAUUGAAAAUUUAUUCAAAUAAUUAUAUACAACAAUAACGUAUUAAACAAAACGAGGAACAAGUAAUAGUAUGUGACAGAUUGUAUCAUAAAUUUCGUGGCAAUCUUGGCAGAAAUGUUAGGACAGUCACGUUAAAAAACGAUUCAAAUAAUAUUUUUCAUUGUGAACAAUUGUUAAAAAUAUGAUAAACAUUGUAAAAUCUUCAAGAAAAUAUUCCUUUAUUAAUCAUGUCACCGUUGAUGGAUUCAACAAAUAUAACGAUUCCAAAUUCCUAUCCUAGGAGAAGAGGCAUGAUAUUCUUCUCGUCACGUUUUAGUUGCAGUUACUCGCACGGAUCACUUUGUGCUACUUUGUACUUAUCACAGAAUCCUGAUGGCCGAGGAAGAGACCAAGUGCUUCUCGAUAUUUCAAAAGUUUUCUCUGGCCAGCACCCAAGGCUAAAACACUCGAAAUAACGCAGUAGCAAUUUAUGUAGGCGUACUGCGGGACGGUCAGCCUGGUCACACUGGUAUCCGGUGGCAGGUGGAGCAGCUCUUGAGGUGGAUCCCAUUCUGUGUUUCUCUGGAUCCGGAUUCAACGAUAGAUGUAAAGGUCGCGAGCCUCAGGAACGAGGUCUAUGGAACUAGGUUAACUUCACUAUUUUCUCUUCUUAUUGAACAUCGAUAUCACGAACCAUAUGAAGCUAUAAUUUCUUUAGGAUUCUCUUGAAUAAUUAAUGAAUGAAUAAAGUUUCAAAAGAAAAAAAAUUGAUUGGUAACGAGAACUACUUUAUUCCCCGUACAAAAAAACUUGAAAAAUGAUAUCACGUGGCCACCCAAAAAUACUACGAGAGGUGACUCGAUCCAAUCGCCUUCACCUAUCGGUCCGGCCAGGACAAGAGGCAGCUUGGUCGGGUUGUACUGCCAGCAAAAAGAAGAGACGAUUGAAAAUACUCAUGUUCUGAUCUCUCACGUGUUUCGAAAUCCGUGCACCCGAGAAUCGUAAUGUUCUAUCAAGAAGCAACGGUGUGGGCCAGGCUGUGCGCGAUUUCGCUUUGGCAUCGGCCAAGCACCUGUCGCACGCAUCGCCACAGUGGAAAAUAGAAAAUCGUUUUCGAAAAAAGCACGCGCAUGCGCCGACGUAACGCGAUUACGUGGGUGUGUCGAGAUUAAUUGCUCGCGCCAAUUACCGAAAUAAUGGUAAACGGUCCCUUGUAACUAUGCAUAAUUAAAUCAGAAUUUUUAAACGAGAACAGAUUGUUAAAUAAGGUGAUGAAAAUUUAAUCGUUUUGUUCUUUGAUAUGAAUAAUGUAGAUUCUUGUUAGUUAGUUUUGGAGAAUUACAGGAAAAUUAUUUUUUUUUAUUAUCAAAUUCUAUAUACUAAACUUUAUAAAAUAUAAUGCAAAUUAAUUUAGAUUAUAUGUAUUUU